GGCCGAGUGGUGGAAUUGGUAGACACGCAGCACUCAAAAUGCUGUGUCGCAAGACGUGUCGGUUCGAGUCCGACCUCGGCUACCA
rnacentral:tRNA from 1 species